rnacentral:snRNA from 1 species
AUACCCUGGUUUCUUUUCGGGCUGAAUAAAUCUUUCACCUUUUACUAAAGCUUUCCAUGGAGAAG